rnacentral:rRNA from 1 species
CCUACGGGAGGCAGCAGUGAGGAAUAUUGGUCAAUGGGCGCGAGCCUGACCCAGCCAAGUCGCGUGAGGGAAGACGGUCCUAUGGAUUGUAAACCUCUUUUGUCGGGGAGCAAAAGACGCCACGCGUGGCGUUCCGAGAGUACCCGAAGAAAAAGCAUCGGCUAACUCCGUGCCGGAAGCCGCGGUAAUAAGGAGGAUGCGAGCGUUAUCCGGAUUUAUUGGGGUUAAAGGGUGAGCAGGCGGAAGAUCAAGGCAGCGGUAAAAUUGAGAGGCUCAACCUCUUCGAGCCGUUGAAAAUGGUUUUCGUGAGUGAGUGAGAAGUAUGCGGAAUGCGUGGUGUAGCGGUGAAAUGCAUAGAUAUCACGCAGAACUCCGAUUGCGAAGGCAGCAUACCGGCGCGCAACUGACGCUCAUGCACGAAAGUGUGGGUAUCGAACAGGAUUAGAUACCCCGGUAGUC